AAAUCAACGACGGUUGGUGGACGCUCAU
rnacentral:sRNA from 1 species